rnacentral:rRNA from 1 species
GGAGAGACAGCAGAAUGAAGGUCAAGCUGAAGACUUUACCAGACAAGCUGAGAGGUGGUGCAUGGCCGUCGCCAGCUCGUGCCGUGAGAUGUCCUGUUAAGUCAGGUAACGAGCGAGAUCCCUGCCUCUAGUUGCCACCAUUACUCUCAGGAGUAGUGGGGCGAAUUAGCGGGACCGCCGCAGUUAAUGCGGAGGAAGGAGGGGGCCACGGCAGGUCAGUAUGCCCCGAAACUCUGGGGCCACACGCGGGCUGCAAUGGUAGUGACAAUUGGUUCCGAAUCCGAAAGGAGGAGGUAAUCCUCAAACGCUACCACAGUUAUGACUGAGGGCUGCAACUCGCCCUCACGAAUAUGGAAUCCCUAGUAACUGCGUGUCAUUAUCGCGCGGUGAAUACGUCCCUGCUCCUUGCACACACCGCCCGUCGUUUCAUUGAAGUUUGCUUUUAGCGAGGUGACGUCUGAUUGGCGUUAUCGAACUUGAGGUAAGUGACAAGGGAAAAGUCGUAACAAGGUAGCC